rnacentral:rRNA from 1 species
CUUGCUUCUCUUGAGAGCGGCGGACGGGUGAGUAAUGCCUAGGAAUCUGCCUGGUAGUGGGGGAUAACGUCCGGAAACGGACGCUAAUACCGCAUACGUCCUACGGGAGAAAGCAGGGGACCUUCGGGCCUUGCGCUAUCAGAUGAGCCUAGGUCGGAUUAGCUAGUUGGUGGGGUAAUGGCUCACCAAGGCGACGAUCCGUAACUGGUCUGAGAGGAUGAUCAGUCACACUGGAACUGAGACACGGUCCAGACUCCUACGGGAGGCAGCAGUGGGGAAUAUUGGACAAUGGGCGAAAGCCUGAUCCAGCCAUGCCGCGUGUGUGAAGAAGGUCUUCGGAUUGUAAAGCACUUUAAGUUGGGAGGAAGGGCAGUAAAUUAAUACUUUGCUGUUUUGACGUUACCGACAGAAUAAGCACCGGCUAACUCUGUGCCAGCAGCCGCGGUAAUACAGAGGGUGCAAGCGUUAAUCGGAAUUACUGGGCGUAAAGCGCGCGUAGGUGGUUCGUUAAGUUGGAUGUGAAAUCCCCGGGCUCAACCUGGGAACUGCAUUCAAAACUGACGAGCUAGAGUAUGGUAGAGGGUGGUGGAAUUUCCUGUGUAGCGGUGAAAUGCGUAGAUAUA